GCAGGCCCUACACAUUGCAAGUUCGAGCGGUAGCACAGAGAGCUUGCUCUCGGGUGACGAGCGGCGGACGGGUGAGUAAUGUCUGGGAAACUGCCUGAUGGAGGGGGAUAACUACUGGAAACGGUAGCUAAUACCGCAUAAUGUCGCAAGACCAAAGUGGGGGACCUUCGGGCCUCAUGCCAUCAGAUGUGCCCAGAUGGGAUUAGCUAGUAGGUGGGGUAACGGCUCACCUAGGCGACGAUCCCUAGCUGGUCUGAGAGGAUGACCAGCCACACUGGAACUGAGACACGGUCCAGACUCCUACGGGAGGCAGCAGUGGGGAAUAUUGCACAAUGGGCGCAAGCCUGAUGAUGCAGCCAUGCCGCGUGUGUGAAGAAGGCCUUCGGGUUGUAAAGCACUUUCAGCGGGGAGGAAGGCGGUAAGGUUAAUAACCUUGUC
rnacentral:rRNA from 1 species